rnacentral:rRNA from 1 species
AGUGAACGCUGGCGGUAGGCCUAACACAUGCAAGUCGAACGGCAGCACAGUAAGAGCUUGCUCUUACGGGUGGCGAGUGGCGGACGGGUGAGGAAUACAUCGGAAUCUACUUUUUCGUGGGGGACAACGUAGGGAAACUUACGCUAAUACCGCAUACGACCUACGGGUGAAAGCAGGGGAUCUUCGGACCUUGCGUGAUUGAAUGAGCUGAUGUCGGAUUAGCUAGUUGGCGGGGUAAAGGCCCACCAAGGCGACGAUGCGUAGCUGGUCUGAGAGGAUGAUCAGCCACACUGGAACUGAGACACGGUCCAGACUCCUACGGGAGGCAGCAGUGGGGAAUAUUGGACAAUGGGCGCAAGCCUGAUCCAGCCAUGCCGCGUGAGUGAAGAAGGCCUUCGGGUUGUAAAGCCCUUUUGUUGGGAAAGAAAAGCAGCAGGUGAAUACCCCGCUGUUCUGACGGUACCCAAAGAAUAAGCACCGGCUAACUUCGUG